CACAGGGAUUGCCUCAGCUACGGCGAGUGAAGCGGCAACAGCUCAGAUUUGAAAUCUGGCCUUUGGGCCCGAGUUGUAAUCUGCAGAGGAUGCUUCGGGUGAGGUGCCUUCCAAGUGCCCUGGAACGGGACGCCGGAGAGGGUGAGAGCCCCGUACAGUCGGACACCAAGCCCAUGUGAAGCUCCUUCGACGAGUCGAGUAGUUUGGGAAUGCUGCUCAAAAUGGGAGGUAAAUUUCUUCUAAAGCUAAAUACCGGCCAGAGACCGAUAGCGCACAAGUAGAGUGAUCGAAAGAUGAAAAGCACUUUGAAAAGAGGGUUAAAAAGUACGUGAAAUUGUUGAAAGGGAAGCGCUUGCGACCAGACUCGCGCCCCGUGGAUCAUCCAGCGUUCUCGCUGGUGCACUCUGCGGAGCUCGGGCCAGCAUCGGUUCGCUCAGGGGGAUAAAAGCUCUGGGAAUGUAGCUCUCUUCGGGGAGUGUUAUAGCCCAUUGCANAAUACCCCCUGGUGCAAACCGAGGACCGCNCCUUGUGCAAGGAUGCUGGCGUAAUGGUCGUCACCNACCCGUCNUGNAAAAANCGGACCAA
rnacentral:rRNA from 1 species